CCCAUAUAUUAUUUCUUUUGUUUCUUCUGUUUGAUAACUUGUAAAAGCUUACGGCUUUUCUGAUGUUUGGUUACCCUUCUUCUCCCCUUUCCCCUUCCCCUUCCCCUUCCCUUUCCCCUUCCCCUUGGGUUGAAAUACAGUUUGGUCAAGGACCUCUUCCGGUUCCUCCUUCAUCCAGGCAAAUCUACCAUGAAUUCUUCACUGGGUCUCAGGCAAUAAUUGAAUACCAAGUUGAUCUUACUAGAUGGAAAGCUAACUAGAAAGCAGCCAUGGAUGUUGAUUCACAACCAACUAUGGAGGAAACCAUAUUGGUUGGUGAUGACCUAAUGAUGGGGCCACCAUCUCCUGUCAUCCCACAAGAAAUCACAUCUCAUGUGCUUGAAGGUGUCGAGUUAUGUGAUGGGAUCUUACGGAAUUUAUUUUUGUGUAAGUUCUAUGUUUUUAACUUAACAAUCUUUAUGUAAAAG